GCCUUCGUGGUGUAGUGGUCAGCACGCUCGAACGUGUAACCGAGAGAUCCAUGGUUCGAUUCCCGGCGAAGGCG
rnacentral:tRNA from 1 species